GACGAACGCUGGCGGCGUGCUUAACACAUGCAAGUCGAACGGAAAGGCCUUUUUUUGGUGGUGUUCUCGAGUGGCAAACGGGUGAGUAACACGUGAGUAACGUGCUUUUCAUUUUGGUAUAACUUCAGGAAAGUGGGGCUAAUAGCAUAUAGGAUCUCCUGCUGCGUUGGGGGGGGUGGAAAGUCUCGGCGGUGGGGGAUGGACUCGCGGCUUAUCAGCUUGUUGGGGGGGUAGUGGCUUACCAAGGCUUUGACGGGUAGCCGGCCUGAGAGGGUGACCGGCCACAUUGGGACUGAGCUACGGCCCAGCCUCCUACGGGAGGCAGCAGUGGGGAAUAUUGCACCAUGGGCUGAAGCCUGAUGCAGCAAAGCCGCGUGCGGGAUGACGGCCUUCGGGUUGUAAACCGCUUUCGCCUGUGACGAAGCGUGAGUGACGGUAAUGGGUAAAGAAGCACCGGCUAACUACGUG
rnacentral:rRNA from 1 species